rnacentral:rRNA from 1 species
UACGGAGGAUGCAGGCGUUAUCCGGAUUUAUUAGGUUUAAAGGGUGCGUAGGCGGCCCAUUAAGUCAGUGGUGAAAGUUUGCGGCUUAACCGUAAAAUUGCCAUUGAUACUGGUGGGCUUGAGUCUGGUAGAGGUAGGCGGAAUGUGUAGUGUAGCGGUGAAAUGCUUAGAUAUUACACAGAACACCGAUUGCGAAGGCAGCUUACUAUGCCAGCACUGACGCUGAUGCACGAAAGCGUGGGGAGCGAACAGG